AUCAGGUCCGGCAUUUACAGACACUACAAGAGUAGUGUUAGCAAGAGCUAAAGGCCAAUGUUGAGCCGGCACGUUGUCUUCAUGUACUUUAACUAGUUGUCCCAAGGCCACAUUUGCUUUUCCGUAAAUCCAUUUGCUGCGUUGUUGUCACUCGCUGCCAUCUAUCCAGAUACCGAAGUUCCAUUCCGGGAAGGUCCGUGGAAUGGUAAAGUAAUGAUUCUGGUACUGACGUUAAUUCGGUUCCAAUCAGCAAAUGCCCAGGAGUGAGAGCAUUGAAAUCGUUGGGGUCAUCUGAAGUGGGUGCUAUUGGCCUUGAAUUAACGAUAGCUUCCACAUCCGAGAACACAGUGAGUAGUUCCUCGAAAGUAAGAGAUGCGUUUGAAAUAUUGAUCUAUGACGUCUGAGUUAAACAAUUUUGACUUAAACUCAGCUAGCCUUGUAUCAGCGCCAAAAAAGUUUGUGGCGUUGUCGCACACCAUGCGCAAUGGUACACCACGGCGCGCUACAAAUCUACGUAUACAAAGCGGAAAUGCAUUUGUUGACAAUUCGGAGACUAAUUCAAUAUGAAUCGCCGUUGAAGCAAAACAUACAAAAAUUGCCGCAUAUGUUUUGUACGGCGGCUUUCUGCGAAUCCUGUAAGACGUGAAAAAUGGGCCGCAAAAAUCUACUCCUGUUACUAGGAAUGGUCUUUCAGCUCGUAGUCGAUCAGCAGGAAGAUUGCCCUUCAGUUGAGAUAUGAGGCGAGGUUAAAGUGAAAGAAGCGGAUGCAGCUUCGCACAACUUUUCUAAUCAACGCUCGUGCGUUGAUUACCCAAAUUCGUUUUCGUAAAAGAGAUAAAAUAAACUUUGGGCCAGCA